rnacentral:misc_RNA from 1 species
UAUAACAAUCUCAUAUACUUUUCAUUCAUAUGUAUUAAUAUUCAAAUGUCUUGUUUCUUUAUACAAUAAAAAUUGAGUGGAGGGCAAACAAACAAUGAAAAAAAAAACAAAUAUUGGUAUCUCUAAAGAAUACAAACCCAACAAAUAUAUUUCCUUUGCCCUUCCCAUGGAUGGAUUUUACAGAUUUGAAUUUCAAAAAUGAAAUAAAUUAAUGAAAGAUUUUACACAGGGGCAGGGAAGAAGAAAAGAAUAUAGGGAAAAAAGAAAAAGAAGAAAGAAAGAAAGAUUAACUUUACAACCCUCAUAUCCUUGACCAGAGAGAUUGAUUGCUGCCUACUUCAAACAAAAAAGAUGAGAAGCUUGAGCUUCCUUAGCCUCACUCUUGUAAAAACUGGAAGGCUGGAUUCCCAAGUAGUUCCUCCGCUGGUUGAACACCCAUAAAAUCUCUCUCUUGCAGUGAAUUUGAAAGGUCAUCAAUAGAGAAUGGGAUGCCAGAAUUGUCAUCCAACAAAAAGGAACUGCUGACAGCAUCGUUGGAGUCUUCUGUCAUAAGCACCCUCAUGCUGGAAAUGACAUUAGGAGACACACUUCGAGUAUUAUAGUUGUCAUCCCAGUACAGUGUACAGAUUCGGUACAGCUGCUGCACACUCAGGAUAGGGCACAGAUCAUUAGUGAUUUCAUCAUAGGAUAUUCUGUACUUCUGAUGUAUAACCAAAAAUCCGACAGCCUGUCUUAUGUGCUUUAGUUCAUCCCAAGACGAGCCAGCAUACUCUUCUUUUGCUUGACAACACCAUAGCUCUAGCUCAGCUAAUCCAGCUUUCACAUAUUCACCAUUGCUAAAUGUACAACACUCACGGCGCAAGAGAAGACUAUUGAAUAAUUGUACAUUGAUGUAUGAGAAAGUUUGAGUAAAGAUCUUCUGGAUAAGAACUGGAGGCACCUGAAAUACCAAUAACUCUGAGAAUUUUUGUGCAUUUAAAAGACAAUUAGAAGAGAAAACAAUGAAGCUCAUACAAAAUUUUGUUUCAACGUGCUGAGAAGAAUGUUGAGACUAUCGAUUAUGCUCUGCCAAUGACUUGCAGGAGAAUCUUUACUGAAGGAACGCCCAGAUCUUAGUACACCUCCUUUAGAUGUUCUAGGGGCCUGUAUGCAUAAUGAAAGCAAAGAUGACAAUUCCUUCUUCAAGUUGUCUCGAAUAAUUCCAUAAAUUUUCUCCACAUAUGCCGCAAGCUGUUGCUUGAAAAGCAAGGCUGGGUAUUUUGCCUCUACUUGGCACACUACUGAUAGUGCAGCAGCAGCAGCAAGAUUGGAAGAUGAGGGAGAAGAACGAAAACCCAUCGUCAUCCUCCCAAACAAGGAUGCUGCAGAGGAUGACUUCCUAUUUGGAGUUGCACCACUAGCACCAGCUGCCUUCAGACUUCGUUGCAGCAAAAACAAUAAAGUAGAUGUAUUUGAUAACCAGUAAGCCAUAUGAUCAUUGUUAUCUUCAUUCUCAAUUGCAGAACCAAUCAUUUGAAUUAGACGAUCAAACACACUAGUCCUUUCUGCUUCAAAGGAUUUCCAGUGGAGAAGACAUUUGUAUAUGGUAAAUGCUGCCACAGGCUUUCCAUGACUAUACCCAAUGUUAUUCGCAACACAAUUGAUAAGAGCAUCAAUAUUCUCAUUUUGGCGUUCAAUGUGGGAUCUCCUAAACUUGCUAUCUGACUCUGUGCCAAACAUCUUUACAGGUGUUGUACUAUGUGGUUCAUUGGUUUUGUGCUCUUCAUUCACAUGGUGACCAUUUUCCAAAAUAUGAGUUGCUGGAAUAGGUGGCUUCUCGGAUGUCUUCUUAACAGGUGUCUGAAACUGUUUAAGAAUUUGGUUCUCAAUUUCCAUGUCUGAAAAUUUUUCUUCCAGCCUGGAAGCAAAUCAAGAAAAGGGGGGAAAAAGAGCAUCAUUAUUAACGCAUUAACAGGAACAACCCACAUUGCAUUUAAUUAGUCAUCUAAUAAUAUCAUUGCCCAUCUCAGCAGUGUAGCUUAAACAUGCCAACAACCUAUGCAUUGCAGUCUUCAGUUCAACUAUCCUCGACUCUGCCUCCAAAGCUUGCUUCAAUCUUUCUUCGCUUAUUUUGUUUGUCUCUUCAAAUCUUUUUUCUGUUUCAUCAAUUUUCUGUUCCAGUGAACUAACCAGAGCCUUGAGUUUCUCAUUUUCUGUAGUAAGCUUAUCCAGCAUCGCAGGAUCAACUACAGGAACCUCCUGUAUAACAGGGACAAUCUCUUUGGCCUUCUUGGUAGCCUCCCGUUCCUUUAUGAGCAUUUCUUUAGUUUCUUUGAACUGAAGUUGCAUUUCUUGUAAAGCAGACUGCAGCUUUGCAUUCUCUUGUGUUUUAGAUUCUUCUAUAUCGGCCCUCAUGCGUUUCUCCAGCUGAAGUCUCCAUGUCAAUUCUUCAACCUGCUUUUCCAAUUUAUUUUUAGCAGCUUGAAGAGCACCAGUUUCUCUUGCAGCCAUUUUAAGUUUCCGCAGUUCUUUUCGAGCAACUCUCACUCUCCAUGCACAUUGCGUCACAACUGCUGCUUUCUUUAACUCCAUAUAAUGUAACCGGGCCAAGUAUUUGCGACAUUGGCUCUGAAUUACAAUUGCUGCUCUAGUCUGCCUUCUGAAGCGUAACUCAUCCCUAGCAGCCAUCCCACGCAUACCCGUUUGAAUACAAAUAGCAGAGCAACACAAUUCAGUAUAAGCUUUCCUAGCAAAAUACAUUCGCAAACAUCUUUGGAUCCUCAGAGAAGCAGCCUCUCUUCGCAUGUUCUCGUAAACUUGCCGAGCAAGUUGUCCUCUGCAUGCUGCUUGAAUCUGUACUGCAGAAUGACGGACCAUGAUAAAACUUCUGCGAGACAAAUAAGACCGCACUUUUCUCUGAAUAAUGCUCGCUGAUCUUCCUAAUAUGUCACUCCUACGAGCAUCCAGUUCAGCCAUUUGACCAGCCCUAAGGAAUACUUUGGUUUUACCAAUCUUCAAAAUCAAAUGGAAGUGUAAUAUUAGCAUAAAAAGGAAAAAAAGAUAGAUGUCCAUCUCACGUGACAAUUUGGCAAGCAAAAGCAAGUUAAUUAAGAAAAUGAUGGGCUCAUAAGGCUAGAUACUAUUAUAAGAUCAACAAGGAAAAACAACAGCGAUAAAUUCCGCAGCAUUACAGUGCAAUAAGCAUGGCAUAAUGCCUGGCAGUCGAAUGAAAAUAAUAUUUCUCCUUUGAGUUUGAUAGGUACACUAAUAAUGAAUCUAUAAAUCAUACAAUUAAGCUUAGAAGAGGAAUUAUUCACUUCUCAGAAAAAAACCUGAUAGCCUUUAAGUUCCACUUUCUCCAGAAGCCUUUUGCAUGCAGUAACUUCAUCACAACUGCCAUCCAAAACUUCCGGUGCAAGGAUUCCAAAUCGGUCUACAAAUUCAUCAAAUGGCCUUCUAGUAGGGUAUCCUGCACAACUAAUCCUAAUUGCUUCCAUAACUCCCCCGCACCGUAGUUGUUGAAGAACAUUUUUAUUCUCAAAAAUUGCUGGCUUAAGAAGAUUGUUGGGCUUCACACAACGAAUGUAAUGCGGCUCAGUUGAACUGAGAGUUUCAAGCAAUGCUUGUAGUUGUUGCUUAAACCGAGAACCGAUUGAAGAGAAUUUUGACUGUUUAGAGGAUUCUUCAGCUAAAAAUGGAAACAUUCCCGAAACAAAGGAACAUUCUGAAGCACUUAAGAGUGCCUGAUGUUCAGCAACAACAUAGUCCUUGUUCUUGUCCAGAAAUAGUUCAGUUUGAUAUGUAACAUCACCAGCAUAAUGGCAAAUUGUGAAGUCACUUCGAGCUAAUUUUGGUUUGGUGAACCGUUUAUGAUUUUUAAAUGUCUGGUACAACUUUUGAGCAAAAGUUUCAUGGGUUGAUCUUGGAAACAUGCAUGAUUCAUCUAGCAGAGCAAUUAUACCACCAGGUUUCUUUUCAAUGAGAUCCAGAAUAUCUUGAUUAUCAACAAAAUCAAUGUAGCUCCAAUCAAUUUCUUCUUUUGUAUAUUCUUCUUGCUCCAUUUUGAAGACGUGCUGAUUAAAAUGUUGCUGAAGUUUCUCAUUUGUCAAGUUGAUGCAAAACUGCUCAAAACUGUUUGUCUUGAAACUCUCAAAUCCAUAAAUAUCCAGCACGCCAAUCAAGAACUUUGACUCAGGGUCUUGACCAAUUGAACUAUUAAUUUUACCCACAAGCCAAUCAAACAACCUUGAGUACAAAAUUUUAGCCAAUGCAUCUCUACUAACAGCGGCAGAUUCUGGAUCCAACCACUUUGUAAUGGUUUCAUCACGAGUUACAAUUACACGUUUGCAGAUAGAGUCUUCUAGUGCCUUCACAUUGCACAUUAAAAGCUCAGCAGCAGUUUUUAGAUGAAACCGAGACUUUUCAUCUUUAGGCACAGAGGAGUCUAUUUCCUUUCCUUUUGCAAAUUCAAUAUUUCCAAGAUGGAGGAUUGCAGCCACUACACGAAAUAUGGCAUCCUGCUCAUCAGAACUUAUUCCAACAAUAUCCAUCGCCCUCCUUGUUGCAAUGUACUCCUUAGAAUCGUCAACACCAUCCAAUUCAUAGCAAUUUGAUUGAUUUAGAUAAUGAAAUGUUCUUGGGUUUCCCAAUUUGUAUCUCUGAAGAUCCUCGAGUGGUGCAGCACAAAGCAUGUAGAAGCAGUGAUAAUUUCUCUCAGGAUCAGAAACCUGACACACACGUGAUCUUUCUAGCAAAUAAGUUCUGAUUGCAGCUCCUGAAAUCCUUCCCCUCUGAUCAAACUGAAUCUCCACAAACUUACCAAAACGACUCGAGUUAUUAUUUCUAACAGUCUUGGCAUUACCAAAUGCUUCUAAAACAGGAUUGGACUCCAGGACUUGCUGCUCAACAGUUCUCCCCUCAGCAACAGCUCUCCCUCCCAUGUAGGCAAGAUAACGCAUAAGCAAUUUUGUGCUUUCCGUUUUACCAGCCCCACUCUCACCACUAACUAAAAUUGACUGACUGACUCCUUCAUUGAUCAUUAGCCUGUAUGCAGAAUCUGCAACAGCAAAGGGAUGUGGACUCAGCUCACCAAAGGCUGCACCUUUAUAUUGUGCCAUCAUAUGACUAUCAUAGAGAUGUGGCAACUUUCUAAAAGGAUUCACGGCAAUUAAUAUAUUCCCUGUGUAAGUAUAAAUUUCAUUCAUAUCAUAUCUUGAUCUUAAAUUCUGCAAGACUCCUGGUUCAUGCAAAUAAGCCAGUUUUGUCAUAUCAUCCACUCCACAUGGUGGGGCUUCAGCAUCUUUAGCAUAAACAUUGGAAGCUUUAACAACAACCGUCUUUCCUGAUGUGCAAAGGACCUUAAUAUCUUCCCCCUUAAUGUCCACAACUUCACCAUCAACCCAAGCUUCAUCAGGAUCUUCUAGCCAAACAGGAGAUCCAACCACCAGACCAACAGCAGCAGCCAUUUCCACCGAGAUUGAUCAGAUCAAAACUUGGGUUGCUCCUCGAUCUACUUCUACAGUCUUCAAUAACAACCAUUCAAAGUCCAGAACCAAAAAAAAGAACUUCCCUUCCCUUUUCCCUUUCCCUUCUUGGGUGCAACUUAAAUCGAUUUACACUAAUAACAACAACCAAAAAUGAAAAAACUUCAAAAAAAAAAAAAAG